rnacentral:rRNA from 1 species
UACGGAGGGUGCAAGCGUUGUCCGGAUUUAUUGGGCGUAAAGAGCUCGUAGGGGGUUUGUCGCGUUGUCCGUGAAAACUCACAACUCAAUUGCGGGCGUGCGGGCGAUACGGGCAGACUGGAGUACUGCAGGGGAGACUGGAAUUCCUGGUGUAGCGGUGAAAUGCGUAGAUAUCUGGAGGAACACCGGUGGCGAAGGCGGCGAUCUGGACGAUGACUGACGCUGAGACGCGAAAGCGUGGGGAGCAAACAGG